rnacentral:tRNA from 1 species
AGAACGGUAGCUCAGUAGGUAGAGCAACAGACUCAUAAUCUGUUUGGUCACAGGUUCGACUCCUGUCCGUUUCC